AAAUCUCAACCUUCUCGGUUUCUUCUGGACACCGAAGGAGGCUUGGACUUUGGAGGCCUUUGCUGGUGUCUCUCUCUUUUGAAGGCCAGCUCCUCUUAAAUGAAUUAGCGGGGUCCUCUUUGCCAGUCCUCGACGUGUGAUAAGAUGUUUCCAUGUCUUGGCUUCUGGCUCUGUUGCUUUUGGGACCCGCUUCUAACCGUCUCAACCUUUCAUUGAGACAAUGUUUGAGCAUGUCUCCCUUCUUGGGAAACACUCUCAACCCCACGAAC
rnacentral:misc_RNA from 1 species